rnacentral:rRNA from 1 species
GAUGAACGCUGGCGGCGUGCCUAAUACAUGCAAGUCGAGCGAACGGACGAGAAGCUUGCUUCUCUGAUGUUAGCGGCGGACGGGUGAGUAACACGUGGAUAACCUACCUAUAAGACUGGGAUAACUUCGGGAAACCGGAGCUAAUACCGGAUGAUAUUUUGAACCGCAUGGUUCAAGAGUGAAAGACGGUCUUGCUGUCACUUAUAGAUGGAUCCGCGCUGCAUUAGCUAGUUGGUAAGGUAACGGCUUACCAAGGCAACGAUGCAUAGCCGACCUGACAGGGUGAUCGGCCACUCUGGAACUGAGACACGGUCCAGACUCCUACGGGAGGCAGCAGUAGGGAAUCUUCCGCAAUGGGCGAAAGCCUGACGGAGCAACGCCGCGUGAGUGAUGAAGGUCUUCGGAUCGUAAAACUCUGUUAUUAGGGAAGAACAUAUGUGUAAGUAACUGUGCACAUCUUGACGGUACCUAAUCAGAAAGCCACGGCUAACUACGUG